GACGAACCGUGCGAACGUUGUUCGGAAUCACUGGGCUUAAAGGGCGCGUAGGCGGGCGAUCAAGUCCGGGGUGAAAGCUUUCGGCUCAACCGGAAAAGGGCCUCGGAUACUGAUCGCCCUUGAGGGAGGUAGGGGCAAGCGGGAACUUCCGGUGGAGCGGUGAAAUGCGUUGAUAUCGGAAGGAACGCCGGUGGCGAAAGCGGCUUGCUGGACCUCUGCUGACGCUGAGGCGCGAAAGCCAGGGAGCGGAACGGG
rnacentral:rRNA from 1 species